CAGUCCACGCAGUAAACGAUGAAUACUUGAUGUAGGAGGCAUCGACCCCUUCUGUGUCGAAGUUAACGUAUUAAGUAUUCCACCUGGGGAGUACGUACGCAAGUAUGAAACUCAAAGGAAUUGACGGGGACCCGCACAAGUAGCGGAGCAUGUGGUUUAAUUCGAUGCAACGCGAAGAACCUUACCAGGGCUUGACAUAAAAGUGACGAGGGAUAGAGAUAUACCUUUUCUCUUCGGAGACAGUUUUAC
rnacentral:rRNA from 1 species